rnacentral:rRNA from 1 species
GACGAACGCUGGCGGCGUGCUUAACACAUGCCAGUCGAACGGAAAGGCCCUGCCUUUGUGGGGUGCUCGAGUGGCGAACGGGUGAGUAACACGUGAGUAACCUGCCCUUGACUUUGGGAUAACUUCAGGAAACUGGGGCUAAUACCGGAUAGGAGCUCCUGCUGCAUGGUGGGGGUUGGAAAGUUUCGGCGGUUGGGGAUGGACUCGCGGCUUAUCAGCUUGUUGGUGGGGUAGUGGCUUACCAAGGCUCUGACGGGUGGCCGGCCUGGGAGGGUGACCGGCCACAUGGGGACGGGGAUACGGCCCGAACUCCUACGGGGGGCAACGGUGGGGAAAUUUGCACAGUGGGCGGAACCCGAAUGCAGCAACGCCGCGGGCGGAAUGACGGCCUUCGGGUUGUAAACCGCUUUCGCCUGUGACGAAGCGUGAGUGACGGUAAUGGGUAAAGAAGCACCGGCUAACUACGUG